AAAUGACUUUUCAUCUGAGGCGUUCUCUGAAACGAAAAGCACAGUCUCUCGUGGACAUUCGGGCCAAAGGAGACACAGCUGAUCUGAAUGUGGACGAUUGGUCUGAGCCGACCCUCAAUUUAGGCAGCGUGGGUAGCGUCAAGUUCAACUCAGAGCAACACAUUUUACAACUUUGCUCCAAUUCCUUACCAGAUGUCAGUCCUCCCGUAGGAAGUAGAUUAGCAGAAUUAAAAGAAAGGAACUUGGCGCUGAAACACGAGAACGAGCUGCUAACGUGGAAAUUCAAUGUGCUUGCAGAUAUGCUUGUGGAGCAUUUUGCAGAAGUAAAGAUUUUGAAGAAUGAAAUUGAAUGGAAAGAAGGAAGGCACUAGUAGUGAUUGAUUUGUCGAACUUCAAACUAACUUAGCCUGUACAUUUUUAAGCAGUUGUAAAUUUGUAUGUAUUGAAAUAUCUAUUGCCUUAAAUCUAUUGUAAAAAGUCGUGAACAUUGUGAAUACUCUUAGAUAGGUCAUGGUAAUUUUUCAUGAAAAAUCUUUUAAAAUUGGUGAAGGUAGGCAAACUCCACAAUCCAGCAGAAAAAA